ACCUGUUGAACUUAUAACCAUCAAUAGUCAUGAACCAAUAUGUGCCAGGCAAAUGAGGAUGCACACAGCCAGGGAUACUAGCCAAGAAUGUGAAAAGGACAGAGAUAAAUGCACUUCCUACAAUGCUUGGUGAGCCAAUAAUGGAACUGUUGUGGGACCUGUUGAACAAUCCAGAGGGACCUCGU